CACAGAGCCCGACGCGGGGCUCGAACUCACAGACCGUGAGAUCAUGACCUGAGCCGAAGUCGGACGCUUAACCGACAGAGCCACCCAGGAGCCCCUGAUUAUAAUUCUUUGUAAUAGAAACUCCACUACAGAGCCUCCAGAUUAUGAUCAGUUUGAAAUUAGGACUCAGAAGAGAAUCCAGUGAAAAGGAAGCAUGUGGGGAAACGGAUUUAGAAACAAGCAGCAGCAGAACAACCCUGUGAGGUAAUAAUAUUAUGACCUCCAUUUUACAUUACCUCAGAAGGAACUCAAGCAAAGAGAAACUGAGUUGCUUAUCCAAGGUCAUACAGCAGCAAUAUAGAGUCACAAGCUGAAACCAGACAGGACAAAGGCAUCUUUAGCAGACAGACCCCAUGUGUCCGGAGCCAGGUAGACUUGCCAAUUCCAACAGAAAGCUGUCCUACUUUCUGGGAAAACAAUGGCUGAAGAACAACUAACUUCACAUUCAAAGAAGAUGCCGAGCUAAUUGAAUUUCUUGCAGUGAUAAUGACAGUUCUGUCUACAUCUCAGCAAAUUCCAGAAGGAUAUUAAAACAUUUGAACUACUUUGGCUAACUCUGUUCUUCUGAAGGAAAGUAAAACCAAGCAGUUUAAUUCAGACAGGGAAUUUGAAAGACAAAGUGUAUCAGUUAUUAGAACUGCAUCUGGGAGGAAUGGCACACUUUCUCAUCCCUCAGCAUGGAGGGGGCUUAAUUACCUGAUUUCUGAAGAGGUACCAAGUGUGCUUGCUGAUGCCCUAGGAGAAAGUUAAAAUGUAUGUGUGGUGGGCGGUGGGGGGGGCGGGAGGGGGAGAAGGGAGUAGGUAGAUCCAUAGUUUGUACAAAGAUCCUAAAGAUACUGCGUCACUCUGAAAGGAAGCUUUCUGGGAGAACUUCAACAGUGACCUGGCUACAGACCAGAUUUGUAAAUGACGUGAAAUUAGGGGGUAAAAUUACUCAUUAGAAAUAAUUAAUGAUCCUCCAAAUGCAAAUAGGUUAAAAGAAUUAGACUAAUUUAAUAGAAUAAAAAUUAAUAUAGAUACAUGUAAACUGUUGGAAACAAACUUCAAUAAAGCGUAACAUGAAUGGGG